CCUACGGGGGGCAGCAGUAGGGAAUAUUGCUCAAUGGGGGAAACCCUGAUGCAGCAACGCCGCGUGGAGGAUGAAGGUUUUCGGAUUGUAAACUCCUUUCGUUAGAGAAGAUAAUGACGGUAUCUAACGAAUAAGCACCGGCUAACUCCGUGCCAGCAGCCGCGGUAAUACGGAGGGUGCAAGCGUUACUCGGAAUCACUGGGCGUAAAGAGCGCGUAGGCGGGAUAGCAAGUCAGAUGUGAAAUCCUAUGGCUUAACCAUAGAACUGCAUUUGAAACUGGUAUUCUAGAGUAUGGGAGGGGUAGGUGGAAUUCUUGGUGUAGGGGUAAAAUCCGUAGAGAUCAAGAGGAAUA
rnacentral:rRNA from 1 species